rnacentral:rRNA from 1 species
GUGAACGCUGGCGGUAGGCCUAACACAUGCAAGUCGAACGGCAGCACAGUAAGAGCUUGCUCUUACGGGUGGCGAGUGGCGGACGGGUGAGGAAUACAUCGGAAUCUACUUUUUCGUGGGGGAUAACGUAGGGAAACUUACGCUAAUACCGCAUACGACCUACGGGUGAAAGCAGGGGAUCUUCGGACCUUGCGCGAUUGAAUGAGCCGAUGUCGGAUUAGCUAGUUGGCGGGGUAAAGGCCCACCAAGGCGACGAUCCGUAGCUGGUCUGAGAGGAUGAUCAGCCACACUGGAACUGAGACACGGUCCAGACUCCUACGGGAGGCAGCAGUGGGGAAUAUUGGACAAUGGGCGCAAGCCUGAUCCAGCCAUACCGCGUGGGUGAAGAAGGCCUUCGGGUUGUAAAGCCCUUUUGUUGGGAAAGAAAAGCAGCAGGUUAAUACCCCGCUGUUCUGACGGUACCCAAAGAAUAAGCACCGGCUAACUUCAUG